AGUAUAUUUAGAAUCCGUGAAACAAACACCCCGAUGCAUUGUCAUAUAUUUUCACCAAAAUAUUCUAGAAAUAUACAUCAAUCUCAACAAUAACAACAAACAUGACGAAAUUAAAAUAAAAUAAAACAAAAACAUCAUCCUUAAAGCAUAACUAGAGUGUUUAAGAACAAAAUCCAGAGUUGAAACAUCCAAAAAGAAGUUUAAGAACAAAAUCCAGAGUUCAAACUCCGGUUAUAGCAACAUAACAUAUACUAACUAACAACUAACAUGAUCACUUGCAGUGGAAG
rnacentral:lncRNA from 1 species